AUGGCUAGUAUUUUAUCAAUGGAUAUGAUUUAUUCUACAAUGAAAGGAAUAGUCCCGAGUUGCUGUAGGCUUACGACCCGGCACUUGGGGGCUACAUUAUUCAAACUGAGAUUACAUCGAAUAUGCAAAGUCCCAUGUCACUGCCAGCAUGCACCAUGGCACUUGGGGGCUAAUGCAAAGUCAUUUUUUGCUCAACUUAUUGAAGACCCGACUCAUCACAUUCUAAAUGAGCCGGCCCUUGGGGGCUACCAAUUGCUUCUGUCAAAAAUUCAAGGUACACAAGCCUCAGUCCAUUACAUUGAAAGAUCCACUACUCAGUUGGUAGAGUACAAAGCUCUUAACCUUAUGGACGUGGGUUCAAGUCCCAUGGUGGAGAUUACAUCAUAUGAUGUUAUUAUCAAUGAAUUAUAUACAAAGUCCUAG
rnacentral:tRNA from 1 species